rnacentral:rRNA from 1 species
AGAGUUUGAUCAUGGCUCAGAUUGAACGCUGGCGGCACGCUUAACACAUGCAAGUCGAACGGCAGCGGGAGAAAGCUUGCUUUCUCGCCGGCGAGUGGCGGACGGGUGCGUAAUGCGUAGGAACUUGCCCUGAAGAGGGGGACAACCCGGGGAAACUCGGGCUAAAACCGCAUAAUACUCUUUGGAGGAAAGCUGGCUACUUGUAGCUGGUGCUUUAGGAGGGGCCUACGUUGGAUUAGCUUGUUGGUGAGGUAAAGGCUCACCAAGGCAAUGAUCCAUAGCUGUUCUGAGAGGAAGAUCAGCCACACUGGGACUGAGACACGGCCCAGACUCCUACGGGAGGCAGCAGUGGGGAAUAUUGGACAAUGGGGGCAACCCUGAUCCAGCGAUGCCGCGUGUGUGAAGAAGGCCUGCGGGUUGUAAAGCACUUUUAAUGGGGAGGAAUAGUUCCAUGUUAAUAGCGUGGAGCAGUGACGUUACCCAUAGAAUAAGCACCGGCAAACUCUGUGCCAGCAGCCGCGGUAAUACAGAGGGUGCGAGCGUUAAUCGGAAUGACUGGGCGUAAAGGGCACGUAGGCGGUUGGACAAGUUAGAUGUGAAAUAUCAGGGCUUAACCUUGGUGCUGCAUCUAAAACUGUCUAACUAGAGUUCACUAGAGGGAAGCGGAAUUUCCGGUGUAGCGGUGAAAUGCGUAGAUAUCGGAAGGAACAUCAGUGGCGAAGGCGGCUUUCUGGAGUUGAACUGACGCUAAGGUGCGAAAGCGUGGGGAGCAAACGGGAUUAGAUACCCCGGUAGUCCACGCUGUAAACGAUGAGUACUAGCUCUUGGAAUGCGACGACAUUUUAGUAGCGUAGUUAACGCGAUAAGUACUCCGCCUGGGGAUUACGGCCGCAAGGCUAAAACUCAAAGGAAUUGACGGGGGCCCGCACAAGCGGUGGAACAUGUGGUUUAAUUCGAUGCAACGCGAAGAACCUUACCUACUCUUGACAUCUAUGGAACAUCUGAGAGAUCAGUUGGUGCUGGAAACAGAACCAUAAGACAGGUGCUGCAUGGCUGUCGUCAGCUCGUGUCGUGAGAUGUUGGGUUAAGUCCCGUAACGAGCGCAACCCUUGUCCUUAGUUGCCAGCACAUUAUGGUGGGGACUCUAAGGAGACUGCCGGUGAUAAGCCGGAGGAAGGUGGGGACGACGUCAAGUCAUCAUGGCCUUUAUGAGUAGGGCUACACACGUGUUACAAUGGGCAGUACAGAGGGAGGCAAAGCCGUGAGGUGGAGCGGAACUCAGAAAACUGUUCGUAGUCCGGAUUGAAGUCUGCAAUUCGACUUCAUGAAGUUGGAAUCGCUAGUAAUCGCGAAUCAGAAUGUCGCGGUGAAUACGUUCCCGGGCCUUGUACACACCGCCCGUCACACCAUGGGAGUGGGUUGCAAAAGAAGUGGGUAGCUUAACAUUGGGCGCUCACCACUUUGUGAUUCAUGACUGGGGUGAAGUCGUAACAAGGUA